rnacentral:rRNA from 1 species
UACGAAGGUCCCAAGCGUUAUCCGGAUUUAUUGGGUUUAAAGGGUGCGUAGGCGGACUGUUAAGUCAGUGGUGAAAGCUCCAUGCCUAACAUGGAAAUUGCCAUUGAUACUGACGGUCUUGAGUACAUUUGAAGUGGGCGGAAUGUGUCAUGUAGCGGUGAAAUGCUUAGAUAUGACACAGAACACCGAUGGCGAAGGCAGCUCGCUGGGACGGUACUGACGCUGAGACGCGAAAGCGUGGGGAGCAAACAGG